rnacentral:rRNA from 1 species
UACGGAGGGUGCAAGCGUUAUCCGGAUUCACUGGGUUUAAAGGGUGCGUAGGCGGAUAGGUAAGUCCGUGGUGAAAUCCUGCAGCUUAACUGCAGAACUGCCGUGGAUACUAUCUGUCUUGAAUAUUGUGGAGGUAAGCGGAAUAUGUCAUGUAGCGGUGAAAUGCUUAGAUAUGACAUAGAACACCUAUUGCGAAGGCAGCUUACUACGCAUAUAUUGACGCUGAGGCACGAAAGCGUGGGGAUCAAACAGG